AUGGACGACGACGGCGACUGGAUCACGGCGAGGUACCUCCUCUCCUCCAUCCUCGGCCGAAACCCGCUCGUCGUCGACCACGUCGACGAGGAGUCCUUCCCGGUCGACCACGCCCCCGCCGCCGCCGGCCGCGGCGGGCCGGCGGAGGCGCCGGCGUGGCAGCCGCCGCCGGCCGUGUUCGCGGCGCCGAGCGUGGCCGGCACGGUGUGCGCGGUGUGCACGGAGGAGAUCGCGGUGGCGGACCCCGUGGUGCGGCUGCCGUGCGCGCACUGGUACCACGCCGGCUGCAUCGCGCCCUGGCUCGGGAUCCGGAGCACCUGCCCCAUGUGCCGCGCCGAGCUGCCGGCCAGGGAGGAGGCCGGCGAGGCCGGCGCCGUCGGCCGCGAGAAGCCCCCGCGCGCCGAGGCCGGGACCAGCGGCGCCGGCGUGCGGCGGGACGCGUCGUCGUACGGGGGGUACGUCGCCGCCGGGGGCGUCCUGUCCGGCUGA
rnacentral:rRNA from 1 species